rnacentral:rRNA from 1 species
AGCAGCCGCGGUAAUUCCAGCUCCAAUAGCGUAUAUUAAAGUUGUUGCAGUUAAAAAGCUCGUAGUUGAAUUUCGGGGCCAGUAGGUUGGUCGUGCCACUGGUAUGCACUGGCCUUACUGGUCCCUCCUUCUUGUAGAACCGUGAUGGCAUUAAUUUGUUGUUGCGGGGAAACAGGACUGUUACUUUGAAAAAAUUAGAGUGCUUAAAGCAGGCUCGCGCUUGAAUACAUUAGCAUGGAAUAACGAAAUAGGACGAUCGAACCUAUUUUGUUGGUUUCUAGGAUCGACGUAAUGAUUAAUAGGGAUAGGUUGGGGGCAUUAGUAUUCAAUUGUCAGAGGUGAAAUUCUUGGUAUUUAUUGAAGACUAACUACUGCGAAAGCAUUUGCCAAGGAUGUUUUCAUUUAAUCAAAGAACGAAAGUUAGGGGAUCGAAGACGAUCAGAUACCGGUCGUAGUCUUAACCAUUAAACUAUGCCGACUAGGGAUCGGAUAGUAAGUUUAAUUUUUUUAAUGUACUUAC